CAUUCCCGCCACCGACGGUCUCGCAGUCGGAGCCACAGCAGAGAGCGAGACCGAAGCCGACGCAAGGCCCGCGACAAGGACAGAGAGAGGGAGCGGGAGAGAGGGAGAGACAGAGACAAGGACAGAGACAAGGACAAGAGUAAAGACAAGGCGGGAAAAAAAGGGGAUGCCGGGAACAUCAAAGGCGGAUUAGAACAUCUGACUCCAGCAGAACAGGCCAAGGCUCGAAUGCAUAUGGUCCUGCAGGCUGCAGGUA